rnacentral:rRNA from 1 species
UACAGAGGUCCCAAGCGUUGUUCGGAUUCAUUGGGCGUAAAGGGUGUGUAGGUGGCGCCGUAAGUCGGGUGUGAAAUUUCGGAGCUUAACUCCGAAACUGCAUUCGAUACUGCGGUGCUUGAGGACUGGAGAGGAGACUGGAAUUUACGGUGUAGCAGUGAAAUGCGUAGAUAUCGUAAGGAAGACCAGUGGCGAAGGCGGGUCUCUGGACAGUUCCUGACACUGAGACACGAAGGCCAGGGGAGCAAACGGG